rnacentral:rRNA from 1 species
UACGAGGGGUGCAAGCGUUGCUCGGAAUUAUUGGGCGUAAAGGGUAGGUAGGUGGUCUCAUUUGUCAGGGGUGAAAUCCUUGGGCUUAACUCAAGAAGUGCCCCUGAAACGGUGAGACUCGAGUCCUGGAGAGGUGAGUGGAAUUCCCGGUGUAGCGGUGAAAUGCGUAGAGAUCGGGAGGAACACCAGAGGCGAAGGCGGCUCACUGGACAGGCACUGACACUCAACUACGAAAGCGUGGGGAGCAAACAGG